CACCGAUUCAGAGCAUGAAAAAUAUGAAGCUCAUAAAAUAUCUCCUUCGCGGCAGGGAGGCCGUGUAGUGUAACUCGCCCUGUCAUUGUGUGUGCGAUUUUUUGCCCUAAGUAUACUAUUGGGGACAGAGGAGAUCGGUAUGGGAUGGAAAUACAACGUACGAAACUAUUGAAAGGGUGCCAGUACAGAGGAGCCACAUGAGAGAGACAAGAGCAUCCCUGGGUUCACAAUCGACAACACAAAUAGCUUACACCUGAAACAGAAAGAGACUGCACCAUACGAGUGGAUUACACAGCGGAAACUCCAACUCUCCACAUAGAAGAAUGUAUCUACUUAGUAAGCUGUGUACUGCGGUAUUUGAUCGUUACAAGGGAAAACACACCAAAAUCAUAAAGUUUGUUCGAGAACUCCGUGGAAAAAUAACAAAUCUGUUUGUCCCAUUGUUGAAAUUCUACGCAAAACUGUCCCACUAACAAAAUAUAUAAAAAAGAAUAAAAAUCAUCAACUAUUAACUUUUAUUCAUAUCUUUGGCUUUAUUUGGUCUAUAAACAAUCCGUGAGAUCUAGAAAAAAUAGAUAUUU